AAGAGGAGGAAGAAAGAAAGCUUUCCUUAUUCUUCUUUCUCCAAAUUUAAUAAAUCUGCCUUGGACUCACCAAUUUGAAUGAGCUCCAGUUCGGAAAGCACCGACUAAGAAGUCUGAGAGUGGUCACUUAACUACCAACAGUGAGCCUAAAACACUUGUUCAAUACACCGAGGCCCCCUGAGAGCAGAGACAACGCUGUGCCAGUGUCUGUUGUUCUUUCUUUCCCCUGCUCCACGGAAAACAGAUUUAUCUUGGACUGGGCAGCACCAGAUUUAACAUUGGCUCUCUUUGUGUUUCCAGGUCAAGUGGGAACACAUAUGCUCCCUACUGAGGAAAAUAAACUGCAGUGUAUUUUUAGCAUCCGCUGCAAGUGCUCACAGCUGAAGCUACGCAGGAUCCAGGCUAUUCACUGAAGGGCCCAGGACUGGCCGCCAUGCCACCUAGAAUUCCAGAACGUGCCCUGGGGGUCUAUCUCUCUAAUCCCACCUCUUUGUUCCACUGAGCUGAUGUGGGAAAAGUAGGAAAAUACAUAAAGGCAGCAAGGUCAAUGGCAGAUACCAUCCUGGAUACAUUACAACAAUCAUGUCUCCCAAGGGUCUGCUGGACUGUGACAGGUUCUCAGACUUUCAUUUCAAUGAACUUGACAGUUUUGAGGAGCACUCAUCAGCCUCAAUUCUGCAGUGAGACUCACUGAGCUGAUUAAGCACUUUUAAGAUCACAACAAGGACAAUCAUUCAGAUGGGUAGUGAUGCUCCUGGAACAUUCUGCAACCCUUGUUCAAAUGUAGCGCAUCCAUGCAUGGUUGACACCAUGGACCUAUUUACAUUCUGACGAUGUACUAUAAUGAUGGAAUCAUAUCUUUAUGUGCUUUACCUUUUAACAGAAUUUAAAGUAUUAGGAAAAGAGAUAUUAUGCCGGGGCUGACCAGCAGCCCCUAAGCAACCAAUGAAUGAUUACUCCGACACAACAUUUGCUGUGAAAGAGAGGGCUAAGGGACUGCCUGGCUAAACGAACCAGACGGCCUCAAUUGCCUGCCUCUUUAGCCUUUUAUUGUGAUAGCAGUUUGAGAUAAAGUUUAUCUGUUAGAUACAAUCAGUAGAGUAAGUAAUAUUGGGAGUACACAUGUGUCUGCAAUGUCCUUUAAGCAAGGACAUCAAAAGA